rnacentral:rRNA from 1 species
UACGUAGGGUCCGAGCGUUGUCCGGAUUUACUGGGUGUAAAGGGUUCGCAGGCGGACUGGUAAGUCAGUGGUGAAAUCUCGUCGCUUAACGACGAAACUGCCUUUGAUACUAUCAGUCUUGAAUCCGGUAGAGAUCUGUGGAAUUCCGAGUGUAGCAGUGAAAUGUGUAGAUAUUCGGAAGAACACCAGUGGCGAAGGCAGCAGAUUGGGCCGGUAUUGACGCUCAGGCACGAAAGCAUGGGGAGCAAACAGG